rnacentral:misc_RNA from 1 species
CUGACCUCUAUCGAAAUCGUAAUAACUCAUCUUGAAGUUAUCCGGCCCGAUCUUGCCGUCCGUCAGCUGUCCCAGGCCACGUAAAAGCUGGCCGUCCCAGUAACCGUCGUAAGUCGCGUCGAAGAACUCCCAGUUGCCACGUUUGUCGCCCUGUGGCAUCGAGUACGACACGAUCCCAUCGUUCCACGGGCAACCGUAUAGCUCUACCCGCAUGCAAACGGUGCGACGAUGAUAACUGUACGGCCAGAAGCGAACUUUACUCGCCCACAUCGGUGGCUCCAGUUCGUGCUUCGACUCCAGGAAUUUCGAGAUCGCAUCUUACAGAGAGAGAAUCUUGCCAACUCGCAUGGAACGAACGUAUUCCGG